UACGUAGGGGGCUAGCGUUGUCCGGAAUCAUUGGGCGUAAAGCGCGCGUAGGCGGCCCGGUAAGUCCGUUGUGAAAGUCAAAGGCUCAACCUUUGAAAGCCGAUGGAUACUGCCGGGCUAGAGUCCGGAAGAGGCGAGUGGAAUUCCUGGUGUAGCGGUGGAAUGCGCAGAUAUCAGGAGGAACACCGAUAGCGAAGGCAGCUCGCUGGGACGGUACUGAUGCUGAGGCGCGAAAGCGUGGGGAGCGAACAGG
rnacentral:rRNA from 1 species